rnacentral:rRNA from 1 species
UGGGGAAUAUUGCACAAUGGGCGCAAGCCUGAUGCAGCCAUGCCGCGUGUGUGAAGAAGGCCUUCGGGUUGUAAAGCACUUUCAGCGAGGAGGAAGGGUAGUGUGUUAAUAGCACAUUGAAUUGACGUUACUCGCAGAAGAAGCACCGGCUAACUCCGUGCCAGCAGCCGCGGUAAUACGGAGGGUGCAAGCGUUAAUCGGAAUUACUGGGCGUAAAGCGCACGCAGGCGGUUUGUUAAGUCAGAUGUGAAAUCCCCGCGCUUAACGUGGGAACUGCAUUUGAAACUGGCAAGCUAGAGUCUUGUAGAGGGGGGUAGAAUUCCAGGUGUAGCGGUGAAAUGCGUAGAGAUCUGGAGGAAUACCGGUGGCGAAGGCGGCCCCCUGGACAAAGACUGACGCUCAGGUGCGAAAGCGUGGGGAGCAAACA